GACGAACGCUGGCGGCGUGCUUAACACAUGCAAGUCGAGCGGAAAGGCCACUUCGGUGGUACUCGAGCGGCGAACGGGUGAGUAACACGUGAGUAAUCUGCCCCUGGCUUUGGGAUAGCCACCGGAAACGGUGAUUAAUACCGGAUACGACCACUUCUCGCAUGGGAUGGUGGUGGAAAGUCUUUCGGCCAGGGAUGUGCUCGCGGCCUAUCAGCUUGAUGGUGAGGCAAUGGCUCACCAUGGCUUCGACGGGUAGCCGGCCUGAGAGGGUGACCGGUCACACUGGGACUGAGACACGGCCCAGACUCCUACGGGAGGCAGCAGUGGGGAAUAUUGGACAAUGGGCGGAAGCCUGAUCCAGCAACGCCGCGUGAGGGAUGACGGCCUUCGGGUUGUAAACCUCUUUCAGCAGGGACGAAGCGCAAGUGACGGUACCUGCAGAAGAAGCACCGGCCAACUACGUGCCAGCCGCCGCCGUAAAAC
rnacentral:rRNA from 1 species